GAGUUUGAUCUUGGCUCAGAUUGAACGCUGGCGGAAUGCUUUACACAUGCAAGUCGAGCGGCAGCGCGGGGCAACCUGGCGGCGAGCGGCGAACGGGUGAGUAAUGCAUCGGAACAUGUCCAUGUCGUGGGGGAUAGCCCGGCGAAAGCCGGAUUAAUACCGCAUACGCCCGAGAGGGGAAAGUGGGGGACCGCAAGGCCUCACGCGAUUGGGUUGGCCGAUGUCCGAUUAGCUAGUUGGCGGGGUAAUGGCCCACCAAGGCGAUGAUCGGUAGCUGGUCUGAGAGGAUGAUCAGCCACACUGGGACUGAGACACGGCCCAGACUCCUACGGGAGGCAGCAGUGGGGAAUUUUGGACAAUGGGGGCAACCCUGAUCCAGCCAUUCCGCGUGAGUGAAGAAGGCCUUCGGUUGU
rnacentral:rRNA from 1 species